GUCUACAGCCAUGCCACCCUGAACAAGCCUGAUCCUGUCUGAUCUCGGAAGCUAAGCAGGGUUGGGCCUGGUUAGUACUUGGAUGGGAGACUUCCUAGGAAGACCAGGUGCUGUAGGCA
rfam:Pteropus alecto contig36001, whole genome shotgun sequence.